GUGGAGUCCCCAGACCUGCAAUAUCUGGGAACAGCUAAGAAAUUCAAAUUCUCAGGCUCCAGUGCAGACUUAAGAGAUCAGAAACUCUAUCUAGGGGUGGAGUUAGCAAUCUGGACUGUGACCAGCCCUCCAGGUGAUUGUGAGAAUGCAUCCUAAGACAGAGAACCACAGAGCCACAGAAAGAAGAGGCCCUGUGAAGGGAGACCCGAGGAAUGGAUGUUUGCAGACGUGACUGUGAUAUUGGAAUAUGGAAGGAUCCAUCCAGGGUCAGGAAGCAGCAGGCUGGCUUCAUUCUCAGUGUUUGUUUUCUGGGUCUUUGAAGGAGAGGUGUUGCAGGGAAAAAGGUCGUGCAUCAGGAAGUGUCAUUUAAAAAGGACCUGAGUUGGGCUGAGUUAUCAGCAAAUACACGCCAUGGCUGUGCUCCCCACCCCCCACCGUACACUAGCAGGGCAGCAGCUCUGAUUGUCUAACGAGCAGCAGAGCCGCCCAGCAGCAACCACAUUAGGAAGGAAUCGGAAACCAACGCUCCGCUGGCUGUCACCCCUUACCCACUUGCUGUCAGACCACAGCCUGAGGCAGCCAAACCCAUUUCCUUGGGGAUCCAGCGCAAACCAGAGAGUGUGGACAGGCCGAUGGAAGAAUGUUGGACCAGCUUUAAGAAUGGGCUGUUCUAAGUCAUGAAUAUUGUAGGAAGCAGCUCUAAGGACCACAGGGCUGGAGGGUGCACAGGAAGGGGCCAGUGCAUACAGACAAAAUAUUACUCUGUCACCCAGACUGGAGUCCAGUGGUGUGAUCUCAGCUCACUGCAACCUCCGCCCCCUCAAGUCCAAGCCACUCUCAUGCCUCAGUCUCCUGAGUAGCUGGGAUUACAGGCACCCACCACCACGUCUGGCUAAUUUUUGUAUUUUUAGUAGAGACAGGGUUUUGCCAUCUUGGCCAGCCUGGUCUCGAACUCCUGGCCUCAAGUGAUCUGUCCACCUCAGCCUCCCAAAGUGCUGGGAUUACAGAUGUGAGCCACCACACCUGGCCUAAAAUGUCAUAUAUUUUGAACUGACUGACUUCUCCAAAAACUUAUGGUUAUUAGUUGAGAGAGAAAACUUGAGAGAAAGUUUCCCUGCACUUGGAUGAGAGGAGAGCGGAACAGCCUGCAUCUCUGGUGCUGGGGAGUAUCAAAUAAGGGGAAUUGGGAGAAGGAUGGAGGCAACAGCGUAGCUCUUUGCCUUUCAAAAUUAAAAUGGGAUGCUGCUUUAUAUUACAAAUCUAAGGAAUUAGAAGAGCAGCAAACUAAGCAACUAAGUUUGUUCUCCUUGCAUAAACUUUAAAAAGCCAGCUUAAAAGUUCUCAAGCUUAAAAUUCGAAAAAUGAAAACAAAUGCAUGGCAUGACAGAGGGGAUAAUUCCUGCACUUUUGGAAAUGUUCUCAUGUUUUCUUCAUUUCAUCCUAUGAAUGAAAAUGCCGUCAAAGGGGAAUAAGGCUAUUCGCAGAGUGCUCAUCACCACGGUAACCACUGAGCAUCUGUACCCUUUAGUAUCUUCAUUUUGAUUAUAAUAAAUGAGUUACGAAUCUAUAUCUGGGGCCCUAGUUAUAUAUUUGCCAUAUGUUCACACCACAUGCACACACACACACACACACACACACACACACACACACUCACAUAUAUGGUGACUAAGACUAAGAGUCAGCCUAAAAGAAGAAUGAUUUGGAGCGGGAGCUCUUGGAGGGAAUGGUAGGAAAAUAACAGGGAUC
rnacentral:lncRNA from 10 species